GACGAACGCUGGCGGCGUGCUUAACACAUGCAAGUCGAACGGAAAGGCCCUGCUUUUGUGGGGUGCUCGAGUGGCGAACGGGUGAGUAGCACGUGAGUAACCUGCCCUUGACUUUGGGAUAACUUCAGGAAACUGGGGCUAAUACCGGAUAGGAGCUCCUGCUGCAUGGUGGGGGUUGGAAAGUUUCGGCGGUUGGGGAUGGACUCGCGGCUUAUCAGCUUGUUGGUGGGGUAGUGGCUUACCAAGGCUUUGACGGGUAGCCGGCCUGAGAGGGUGACCGGCCACAUUGGGACUGAGAUACGGCCCAGACUCCUACGGGAGGCAGCAGUGGGGAAUAUUGCACAAUGGGCGGAAGCCUGAUGCAGCAACGCCGCGUGUGGGAUGACGGCCUUCGGGUUGUAAGCCGCUUUCGCCUGUGACGAAGCGUGAGUGACGGUAAUGGGUAAAGAAGCACCGGCUAACUACGUG
rnacentral:rRNA from 1 species